UUUUUUCCCUUGCGUCUUUCCAUUUUUUAAGUAAAUAGACCUGUGAGGCUGGUAUUUCCAAUGUCGGCUUUUCAUUUAGAAUCUGUUCAUUGCGUUCUGCCUUCAGGAUUUAUAUAGUCUCUGUUAGGAGCACCUGUGAUUUCAUAGCCAAAGGCUUUAUUAUCUUUGCUUCAUCCCAUUUUAUUUGUAAAUCUUUAAUGUAAGCCUUACAGUAAGGGCUGUGAUGAGGUUCCCUACGGCUAUAUUUUUCUUGUGCUCUACCAUUCUCUGUUGUAAUGUUCUCGUAAUGACUCCUAUAUGUGCUGUACUUUGCUGGGAAUCCAUUAUCAUAGCUAGAAUUUUGUACACUCCCGAUUUCUGUCCUUCACUCCUUCUGUUUUUCAUUUCUUAUCGUGUUAAAUAUCAUUGGUGUUCUAUAGCAGGCUGGCCUUUUCUUUGCUUUUUUGAGAAUGUUCUUUACUGAGCUAAGUCUUGUCAUUGGGUAUGAUAAUGGAACAUACUGCUGGUUCAGUGCAUCUCUAGUAUUUCAGUUAGGUGAAUUGAGUAAGUUUUGAGCUAGGGCUUGUUAUCUUUGCUUGAAUGUCUCUUAUAAAGCCUUUUUUUGUAACCAUGCUGGAGGCCAACUUCAUAUAUAUACUUUAACUCUAU
rnacentral:lncRNA from 1 species